rnacentral:lncRNA from 1 species
UCGAGGUUGGCAACUGUUCAACCACUGAGUUCCUUCUCUUGGGAAUUACCAAUAAGCCCAAGAUCAAGGUGAUUUUAUUUAACAGUUUUCUGUUUAUCUCAUUAUUCUUUUUGAAAAUCUUGGAAUGAUCAUUUUGAUAAGAAUGAAUACCCAGCUUCACACAUUGAUGUACAUUUCCUUAGCCAACUCUCUUUCUCUGAUAUCUCUUACUCUACUGCAUUUGGUCCCAAAAUGAUGAAUAGCCUUCAAUUACAUGUAUUUGAUGUUCUGUGUAGUUCUUUAUCUCUAACAUUUUUACAGAUGCUGAGUGUAUAAUGCUAGCAGUGAUGACUCUUGACAGGUAUAAUGCCAUCAGCAACCCCUUGAUGUAUGCAGCAGAUAUGUUCAAGUGGUGUGCUCUCGGCUCCUGGCUGUGGUUUUAUCUGUUUGGAAUGGUAGAUGCUUUGAUACAUACAAUAUUGACAUUUCAUCUGUGUUUCUGUGGGUUCAAAGAAAUCAACCAUUUCUUCUGUGAUAUCCCUCCUCUCCUAUCACUAUUUUCCUCAGAUAUAGAGGUCAAUGAACUAGACAUAUUCAUCCUAUGUGAGUUUACUAAGAUGAGCACCAUCUCAUGAGUCCUGGUCUUUUACUGUUACAUCAUCUCAUUAGUCUUGAAGAUCUGCUCUGCUGAGGGCAGGUUCAAAGCAGUCUCCACCUGUACCUCCCAUCCAACAACUGCUGUUGCAAUUUUCCAGGGAAUGAUGUCCAUCAUGUAUUUCCAGCCAAGUUCUGCUUAUUCCCUGCAUCAAGAUAAAAUGACCUCAUUAUUCUACACUCUUGUGAUCUUCAUGCUCAACGCAGUGAUUUAUAGCCUCAGGAAUGAAGAUGUUAAAGCAAGUGUAAAAUGUCCCUG